rnacentral:rRNA from 1 species
UACGGAGGGUGCUAGCGUUGUUCGGAAUUACUGGGCGUAAAGGGCGCGUAGGCGGCCGUUUGCGUCGGAUGUGAAAGCCCGGGGCUCAACCUCGGAACGGCAUUCGAUACGGGACGGCUGGAGACCGGGAGAGGAGAGUGGAAUAGCCAGUGUAGAGGUGAAAUUCGUAGAUAUUGGCUGGAACACCGGUGGCGAAAGCGGCUCUCUGGCCCGGUUCUGACGCUGAGGUGACGAAAGCGUGGGGAGCAAACAGG